rnacentral:rRNA from 1 species
GACGAACCGUGCGAACGUUAUUCGGAAUCACUGGGUUUAAAGGGUGCGUAGGCGGGUAAGUAAGUCCGUGGUGAAAUCUCUGAGCUUAACUCAGAAACUGCCGUGGAUACUAUUUGCCUUGAAUAUUGUGGAGGUGAGCGGAAUAUGUCAUGUAGCGGUGAAAUGCUUAGAUAUGACAUAGAACACCAAUUGCGAAGGCAGCUCACUACACAAUCAUUGACGCUGAGGCACGAAAGCGUGGGGAUCAAACAGG